GGGGCCAUUGGAGAUUGGUGGGAGCCGUUGGGGGCUGGCUGGGGCCGUUGGAGCUGCAGACAGCUGCCGGGAGCGCUGAGGGAGGCCAAGCCUGCACCCAGGGUGGGUCGACUGAAACAAAGGGGACCAGAAGGUGGGCGCCCAGGAGCAGGUGCCGUGGGGACACCGGCCCACCAGCGCCCUGGAUCCUGAGGGGCGAGGAAUCCAGCCCGGAGCCCGCAGCCGCGCGAGGCCGAGGCCCGGGCUGAUGAGCGAGAGCCGGGGCGCCCCAGGGUCCCCUCCUGCCUCGGGCCGCCCGCGCGGCAAGGAGUGUGUCUGGGUGCAGGAGGAGGCCGAGCCCGCUGGACUGUCCUCGGGAGAGUCCGGCCCACAGGGGGCUCGGCUCGCCCCCAAGUCCGGGGCCGCGUCUGCUCAGAGGCCGGAGGCGCCCGCCGCCUCGCCGCGGCAGCCGCGGGACAAGCGCGGGCUCCUGGACUGGACACAGUUUCCCGCCUCCCUGUGGCUGUUUCCCGACCUGUUGGAGCACAGGCUCCAGUUUUAGAGGCUGUGGAGGACUGGGGCAGGGCACGGCUCCGACUUCAGGGUCUGACAGCUGUGCUUUCUCCAAACACUCAUCCAGGGAGCUGGGGGCCAGGUGGCCUUUGUCGGUUCUCCUCUUUCCUCCUGAAGUCAGGGCCUGGACCGGCUGCCCUGCUCAACCUCAGGAACCUCCUUUUUACUUUUAUUUUAUGAUUAGUUGCCUUUGGUCUCCUCAUUCCUCCAUGGGGUGCACUGAGGCCCCUGCAUUUGCUCACGCCUUCCUGUAUCCAUACUCUUGGGGAACCCUCCCACCCUGAGCCUGGGCUUGGACUGGUGACUUCUUUUGGCCGAUGGGACAUAGGAAAGGCGAUGCAAAAGGAAACUCGAAAAUUUCUUGCUGCUCCUGGAAACCUGCCUCCAUAUAAGCAAACCCUGGCUAUUCUGACAGACGACAUGGCCCAGCACCCCCAAAGACUGAGCUGAGAUCCCAGCUGAGAGAGAGGCCAUCUGGGAUCCUCCAGCCCAUCUCCCAGCGCACCUGCCACUUGGCCCCAGACAACAAUGACUUGGACUUAAGAAUUCUUUGGUGUUUGAAGAUUCUCUGCUCAGUAAUAUUUGUGGGACUGUCAUUCAUGGACAGACGCCCUUCUUUUAAGUUUUAUUAGACAAUCUAAAUUUAGAGAAGAGACUGAAAGAUGAAUUUGGGGAUGUGAAAUCUGAACUCUGGGAGCGUUAUUCCUGUUUCUUGAGAAGGAAGAAAACAUUGAUUGUACGCCUGCCACAUGCUGCACCCUUUGCUUAGUCAUUUCACAAAGAUGUCCUUUGUCCUUGAACAAUCUCAGGAAAAAAAAAAGUGGCAUAGAUAUCCCUGCCCUUGGAUGCCUUUUGACUUGUCUUCUCUCCAAAUCACAGAAUUGCUGCUGGCAGAGGGGACCUUAAUGCCACCUAGACCCACUCCCAUUGCACGGGAAUGCUUUCAGAGGAGUCAAGCCUUGCAGCCUCUUCCUUGACAUUCAAACCAGAGCAGAGCCUGACAGGAAUCACUCACAUCUGGUCCACAUGGCAUCAGCUGAGAUGGCUCCAAUCAAGACUGGACAAUCCACUUUCAAUACAGAUCACCCACAUGGCUGGCAGGUUACUGCUGGCUGCUGGCUGGCUGCUCAGCUGGUCUGGGGCCUGGGCGUGAGGGGCCUUGCUUCCUCUCCGGUGGGCUUCUCCUCAGCUGCUUGGGUUUCCUCACUGGAGGAUGGCUGAGGUCCCAGAGCAAAUGUCCCAAGAGAUCCAGACAAAAGGGGGUGGUGCUUUUAUGCUCUAUCCUUGGAAUCACAUAGCAUACAAUUCCAUUGCACCUUGUUAGUUGAGGGGGUCACAAAGUUCCACCCAGGUUAAAAGGAAGGGGACAUAGAUUGCACCCAUGGGGUAGUGGCACGGUCAUGUUGUAAGAUGAGCAUGUGGGAUGAGAGAGGUUCUUAUAUUCUAAAGUCAGUAUUUACCUCUUUCAUUAACAAAGACCUUGAAACACAUUGUCUUCCACAUGUCCCCUAUGCUCUUUGUAUAUAUUUAGUUGAAUGCUUUUAUUUUGCUUGGUUUUACCCCAUAAAUUAGACAUUUUGAUUUCUAUAAUGUUUGAACCAACGAAUACAUCUCUAAAGAAUAUAGCUUACUUUUGCUUGUUUUUGAACUUUUUACAAAUGGAAUCACAUGUUAGGAAUGAUUUUUGUUCACGCCUCUUUUGCUCAAAGUGUAAGUGUCUAAGACUUAUGCAUGUCACUGCAUGUAGCUGUGCCUUGUUCGUUUUCAUUGUUGCCUGGCUCUCUGUGCUAUAACAGAUGACAGUUUACCAGCUGCGCUGUAGAUGGACUCUGGGCCAUUUCCAGGUUUGUUGAUUAGAAUUCACAUAUCCUAGUGCAAAUGUGCAUGAGUUUCUUUGAUGUGUACCCCCAAGAGGGAUAUUGCAGAUGCUUCUAUUACUACAUAAUACCAAACUGUACCAAUUUCUACUCCCACUGGCUAGUAUGAGAAUUCCUGUUCCAAAGCCCUGUUGCUAUAAUCUGAUUUUGCCAGAUUUUUUUCUUGUUUAUGGUAAGUUUGUAAUGGAAAACACUACCUUUAAUCUUACCUUAAUCUCUGCUGACUGCAUGCUAUCUUCCCAAAGAACCAGUGUUAUCUCCUCCUGAUGCAUAGCUCAUAGCUGCCUGACUUGGUUGUACAGAAGUGUUCUGCUGAGGAUAUGGCAGAGCAGAGAGAGAACAUGCCUGUAUUAGCAAAACUCUGCAUCCUUCCAUUUCUGCUUGCAGGCUGGCUAGAUUUAGCUAGAGUUCCUGUCUCUUAUAGGACUUAGAGCAGUCAAAAAAAAAUUGUCUACAUAAGCCAUCAUUCUGGAUCUUUCCUACCAUUUCCUUAAUGCCACAGAUUUUGUCAAAUUGUGGUCUACCCUCCAAAGUAAUGCAAGCCUCGAAACCUAACCGAAGAUUUUACCACCAUGUAAUGUGAGGCGCCAGCUUUUCAACCUGGGCCCAGCUGAAAUUCAGGGGAUCUAUUACUAUGGAAAAAGGGAAGAUGGACAUCGGUGGACCACUAACAAUCUUGGCCACAGCUUCCUUCUGGCAUCACUUUUUUUGUCCUUGUUAACUUGUUUUCUGGAAAAGUCUUUAUAUUGUCCUAAUUCUUGGAUAGCAGAGCUGGGUUGACUAUUCUUUUUUCUCAUUCUACUGUCUUCUAGCUGUCACUGUUAAUGGGGAACAGUUGGGUGUCCUUCUUUUUCUCCUAGCUCCUUUCAAGAACACUUUUGUAUUUGGCAUUUCCAUGAUUCCUCAACAAUGUAACCAAGAAGUAAGUUAUUAUAAAUUGGUCCUACUUGGUACACAUUGGGAUUCCUGAAUUUGUAGAUUGAUGAGAAUUUCAGAAAAUUCUCAGCCUUUUCUCUUUCAUGCUGACUUUCCCCAUUUUCUCUCUUCUCUCUCUUUGGAACUCCAACUGGAUGUUUGACUUUCUCAUUUUACCCUCUGUAUAUCUUAAUUUCUCUUUCCUCUUGUUUAUUCCUCUGUCUCUAUUCUCCUUGUAAUUUCUUCAUAUAUUUUUCUAGUUCACCAAACUCCUCUCCAAUACUAUCUUAUUGUUUAAUCUUCCCAUUGUAUUUUAAAUUGUGAUAUUUUUCAUUUCUAAAUUGCGAAAAGUAUUAAUAAUUAGACAUUGUGUUUUAAAAAACAAUUUAAUUAACAGAAUUAUAUCUAUGUGAAAUGAUAUACACUAAUAUAAUAAGAAUCCUCUAUAAGGGAUUUUAAAACAAACAUCAAAUCCACCCAUUCAUUCCUUCAGGCUUGAAAGCCUGUGAGGGCCCUGUGCAGUCCUGUGUACGGCCAUAAUGGUCUGGAAGAGUAUCUUCCCAUGAGGAAGGUGGUAACUUUCUCUUGCAAAUCAUAAAUGGAAGACACCCUUGGGUUGGGAUAGGGUAUCGGAUAGAAGGAAAUGCAGAGGUUAGUGGCUAUGGAGGUGGUGGUGGGCUUUCCAGUGGGGACAUGAUGAUGGACACUUCUCGCAACAUUGGGUGCUCUUUACACCAGUGCGAACUGAGGGGGGGCACUCCUUGGACCAUUGUCUUUCAGUGAGGGGACAGCAGGGGACAGAACUGGGUUAGAUGUCUGUGCAGUUAGAGCUUUUACUCUUGUUCCUCAUUUCCAGAAAUAUCUAAAGGAGAAAAGAGGAAAAACUUAGGUGUGUUUUCCAUGGAUUGAGUGGUAGAGGUCUACACCUUUCACACAGCAUGGGCUCCAAGAGACUCCGUGGCUUCUGGUAAAGGCUUCCAGGUCCCCAUGAGGGUAGAACCUCUCUUUGCUCCACUUGAUGAGGCUGGGCUGAGACUCCUCCUUUCAGAGGCAUUUCUUUGCUCUCUUUUGAUUCUCUCCAAUGAUUCUCUCCAUCUGUCUCUCUUUUCUAUAGCCUAAUGCCUGUGAUUCUUGCUUUAGACCUUUUUUGGGUUCCCAUAAUCCUUACUUCUGUUCCUAUAGAAAAUGGUUUACUUGUUAACUUCUUAGUUACCUGGCUUCCCAUUCAAAAUGUAACUACCCUAAGGUUACAAGCUUGGUCUUCAUUCACUGCUGUAUCCCCAGUGCUUAGAAUAAUGUAUGGUCCAGAGUAAGUGCUUUAUAAAUAUUUUCUGACUGUUGAAUUCUUAUUUUACUUGAGAUACUUUGCAAAGGUAGAAUUGGGUAAUUUUUGGAUCAUUCCUAAGUAAAUCCCACUGAAAUGAGCAUGUGCAGAAGUGCAGCAGGUUCUGCUCUACUAAAUGAGUACAAUGUUUGGCAAGGAUGUUCGGAGCAGGCUUUUCAUGGAUGGAAUUCAGUAAUCUCAUCUCUGCCUUGCACAAAAGGUCUGGACUGCUCGGGAAGGGUCAGAAACCCCAUGGCAAUAGUGACAUUUACCAGUGGAUAUCUGUGUUAUCUAGAAUAUGGGUUGAGCUGUUCCAACAGGAUUCCUAAGAGUAGUUUCUUAAAAGGGUACAAUUUAAAAUAUCUUGAGUAUCUAGGCAUAAACUUACUAAAAGAUUAUGAUCUUUAUAAAAGAUUGCAACAUUUUAUUGAGGGAGGGACAUAAACAUGAGAAACUGACAAGAUAUAUAGAUCGUUCAUGGAUUGAAAACUUAAUAUUGUAAAUCAGUCAAUAUUGCUUUAAAUUAUAGAAACAAUGCAAUCCCAACUGGCUUUAUGCUGGAUCUGUACUAGCUGGUUAAAAAAUGUAUAUGACAACUCAGAAGGAUCAAUAAUAGCCAAGACUCUCUUGGAGAAAAGAAGGAAGGCAAGAGGAUUGCCCUUACCUGUUGCCGCAGUAGAUUAUUGAAUUCUAGUAAAGAGGAAGGACAGUGUGGCAUUGGCCCAGGGACAGAGUCAUAGAGUGGGGGAGAAUAGAGGCCAGAAUAAGACCCUGCAUGGAUGGACCCUGGGUUUUUGAGAGGCAACAGUUCUGUGCAGUGAAGAAAGGACAGUGUUUUCAAUAGAAAAUGCUAAGGUUUAUGGCUGUGUUUUCACAGGAUUUUAUAUAUGAUAGUGAAACCAUCUGAUGUUAUCUGGUGAAGUCAGUGGGGAAAUUCCUGUGCAUCACGAUCUCACAAAAAUGUUCAAAGUAGCUCUGUUGAUAACGGCCAGAAUGUGGAAACAACUCAAAUGGCCACUGCAGUACCCUGAUGUCACGGCCGACUCUACAGGAGCAUGGCGACCAAGGAUGAAAAGCACAAAAACAACACUGAAGGAAAGAAGCAAGUCACACAGGAAGAUAUGCUAUGAUCCACUUAUAGGAAGCUCAAAAACAAACAGGAAAACCAAACAAUUCUUGAUUGAAAAGGGCAUAAUUAGG